rnacentral:rRNA from 1 species
AGUCAAUAGAUACCCAGGUAGUCCACGCCGUAAACGAUGAGUACUAGGUGUAGGAGGUAUCGACUCCUUCUGUGCCGCAGUUAACACAAUAAGUACUCCGCCUGGGAAGUACGGUCGCAAGAUUAAAACUCAAAGGAAUUGACGGGGGCCCGCACAAGCAGCGGAGCAUGUGGUUUAAUUCGAAGCAACGCGAAGAACCUUACCUAGACUUGACAUCCCCUGAAUAACGUAGAGAUACGCGAAGCCCUUCGGGGCAGGGAGACAGGUGGUGCAUGGUUGUCGUCAGCUCGUGUCGUGAGAUGUUGGGUUAAGUCCCGCAACGAGCGCAACCCUUAUCAUUAGUUGCUACCAUUUAGUUGAGCACUCUAGUGAGACUGCCCGGGUUAACCGGGAGGAAGGCGGGGAUGACGUCAAAUCAUCAUGCCCCUUAUGUCUAGGGCUACACACGUGCUACAGUGGUGAGAACAACGAGAUGCAAUACCGCGAGGUGGAGCAAAACUUCAAAACUCAUCUCAGUUCGGAUUGUAGGCUGAAAC